rfam:Triticum aestivum genome assembly, contig: Triticum_aestivum_CS42_TGACv1_scaffold_290729_4AL
CAUGUACUCCCUCCGUUUCAAAAUACUUGUCGUGGUUUUAAUUCAAAUUUGAACUAAAACCAAUACUUGUCGUGGUUUUAGUUCAAAUUUGAACUAAAACCAUGACAAGUGUUUUGGAAAGGAGGGAGUAGUAA